rnacentral:lncRNA from 1 species
UAACGGGCAACUUGACCUCUGGUCAGAACAUCCCAAACAGUUGAGAGCAAGGACAGAGCCUUUGGUAUUAAAUGCCUCUGAACUGAAAGGGCGGGAAGGCAGUGUUCCGGCUCUUGUGCUUCGGACAUGGAGCAACUUCUUUUAACCACUUGUCACAGGCUACGUGGGCAGCUCGUGCGUUCUGGAAUUUCUGAGGGAGACUUACCAAGUGCUUUCUGCUGAGACUGACGCAGCCAAGCGGGGGCAUCUGCGUGCCAGGAAUAUAUGGUUGCGUGUGUGCCACUGUUUAUCUGUUUGCAAAAUGUGCCAUAUGUUGACAGCCUAACAUAUGUCGAGCUAUAUGGAAGAUUAGUCAGAGAGAAAGAAGAGCCAGAAUAUGAGAAAGAGAGGGAGAAGAGGAAAUAUGAAAGUGAAAACAAACCCCAGUGACUGGCGAGAUGAUGAAUUCUUUGAGCUUGAGGGGUAUAUCUAGGUUACUUUUAAUCCCUACUGCCUGCAGUUUUGCUGGGCACGUAGGAGAUGCUUAGUUAGUAUAUCCUGAGAAGGAAAAGAGCCCAUGCAAGGUGCCUAGAACCAUGUCUCCUAUCACAGAUGGUGCAUGGCAAGUGUAGAUUGAAUGAAUGCAUGAGAGAAUGUUUAGAGCUAGAAAAACCCUCGGAGUUUCAUUGUAUCACUCUUUUACAGAUAAAACUGCAUCUUGGAGGAGCAUGAGAAUAAUGGCAGCCAGGCCAGCCUUGGGGCCUGGGUGCUGGAGCUGGAGCUGGAGCUUGGGUCCUGGGGUAUCAUCUACCACCUUCUUUGCCACACGGCUCUCACUGCUGGCGUCUGGACCCCACGUGUUGCUGCUGCAGCCGCCCUUGGCGCUGUCGGGAUUCUCAUCACAAGCCAAGGCCCCAUGCACCUGGAAGACAUUUGAACUCCUGCGCUGUUGA